UACUCGGGCACAGAGGCGUUCCUGCUCUGCAGCUCCCAAAAUACGGAGAACUUCCCACAUGCUCUCAUUUGACAGUCUGGAAGAGUGAGGACUUCACUCGUGGAUUUCUGUCAACAUCGGGUUGUCCGCGAUUAGACUGGGAUCUGAAAAGAAAGGGUGUCAACAGGAGCACCUCGCGGGGGCUGAGAAAGGAAUGUGGACGCAUUGUUAUAGACCCCUCUCAUGAAUAGGUGGUGUCUCCUUUUCUUCAGACAUACUGCAACAAGCCUGAAAGAGACAGAGAGCGAGGGAGGGGGACAGAGCGAGAGAGAGAGCGGGCUCAAGACCACAACAUCUGCAAAACGCAUCAAGCCAGCUGUCGCAGGGCAGGCCCGUCUGUCCUGACCGAGAGUUGCAGAGCGCAUCUAGAUGCCUGCGGGCCUCUGGCAGAGACAGGGGGAUGUGCUGGGGAAGUAGGCCUGUCAUUAGGCCGCUGGGGCCGGCACUGAGGAACACCACCGCUACAGCCAGCAGUGCAGACGCUCUCCCAGCUAUGGAGCUCCGGUUAAUGACUGGCGUGUGAAGCGCAGGGGCCAGGCUUUAGCGCAAGGACAGGCAAAAAACAGCCGUAAU